rnacentral:rRNA from 1 species
UUUGGGACAAAUGGGGGCGGGGCGUGAUCCCAGCCAGGGGGCGUGAGGAAGAAAGACAUUUGGUUUUUUAAAGAAUAUUUGCAAGCGCAAGAAACACCCUACUUUUUUAAUAAAGAGUGAGGUUGACGGUACCUUGAUUAGAAGCACCGGCUAACUACGUCCCAGCAGCCCGCGGUAAUACGUAGGGGUGCGAGCGUUAAUCGGAAUUACUGGGCGUAAAGCGUGCGCAGGCGGCUUUGUAAGUCAGAUGUGAAAUCCUUGAGCUCAACUUCGGAUUGCGUUUGAAACUACAAGGCUAGAAUAUGUCAGAGGGGGGUAGAAUCCCACGUGUAGCAGUGAAAUGCGUAGAGAUGGGAGGAAUACCAAUGGCGAAGGCAGCCCCCUGGAAAUAUUACGUCAGCAGAAAGCGGGAGC